UGGCCACACAUUGGACAGAGCUGCUCCAUGUACCUGUGGAGGCUGGGUUUUUGGACCGUAAACCUCUUCGGCCGGUGGACCCAGUCUUUUGGAGCUCAACAUUCCGUAGGUUUACCGCACGGUGCUGAAGCCCCUGGUGUCAUCUUCUUCGGUCAACCGAAGUUUUCUUAUGGUUGGAGAACAAUGGCUGCUUUGUUCAUCUGGCCACCAUUUUCUUGCCGCAAUGCUGCAACGAUGAGGCACUUCGAGGCGAACCGAUCCACCCAACUGGGAAUCAAGAGCCCCAAGGGCAGAGACUACCCAUCGGGGAAGAGACCGAAGUCAGCCUUUGCUUCAGCAACAACAGCACCGACUGCUGGACUACCGGAUGAUGCCACUGGCAACCAAGGGGUAGACAAACAACUCCAAGGAGAUUACAAGACAGCUGAAGAGAUCAGAUCGGCACUCUACCAGAAAUUAGAAGGUGUUAACAGAGGGAUUUUUGGAGUCCCAUCUGCAAAGAAAUUGGAGAUCGAAGGCCUGGUGGAGCUACUGGAGUCCCAAAACCCCACCCCUCAGCCAACUGAUAAUCUGUUAGAUAAGGUGGAUGGAUGCUGGAAGCUUGUUUACAGCACAAUUACAAUACUGGGGGCUAAGAGAACAAAGCUCGGAUUGCGUGACUUCAUCACUCUUGGUGACUUCAUGCAGAUAAUUGAUGUUGCAAAGGAAAAGGCAGUCAAUGUGAUUGAGUUUAAUGUGAGGGCAUUCAAGUUGCUGACAGGGCAGCUGACAAUUGAGGCAUCCUACAAGAUUGUGUCCAAAACUAGAGUUGACAUUAAACUUGAGAACUCAAGCAUUACUCCGGAUCAGGUAAAACCAUCUGCAACCACACCACAGAGAACUCUUUUCAGAUGACUAAAAGCUUUAUCCUCCUGACUGAUGCUGACGUGGGGAUACCACAGUUGAUGAGUAUUUUUCAGAAGAAUUACGAUCUUCUCCUUGCCAUUUUCAAUCCAGAAGAUAUGUUGACGACACCUUGCGGAUUGGGAGGGAUGACAAGGGCAACAUUUUCAUCUUGGAGAGGACCGAGCAGGCAAGAGUCUGAGCUCGUGAACAUUGAGCUCAGCUGCACUUCAUCCAUGAUAUAACAUUACCAAAGCAGUUCUUGGAUCAACAAUGUUUAAUGUGAGCUUACAUUUUAGAGGAAUAUUUACAAGUGAAGAAUAUAAUAGAAAGAUGUAGAUCUUGGGCAUGAUAUGGCGUACUUUGAAAUUAAACUCAUUCUGAAUUCCUAAAUGUUUAUUUGUUAACUGUUGCUUAUCAUUGAGGGGCAUAAAAAAAAGAGAAGAAUCAAAGGGAAAGAUGUUUCUCCAGGGCAUGGAAUUGUGUACUGCAAAAUGAACCUUCCAUUCGAAUUCCUAGAUAUUUAUUUGCCUGCAGUUGAACA